rfam:Zea mays cultivar B73 chromosome 1, whole genome shotgun sequence.
GCAUGUCUAGCUCAGUUGGUUGAGUGCAAGGCUUUUAACUUUGAGAUUGUGGGUUCAAGCCCCAUGGUGGACG